UAUGAUAAUGACAUUCCCUACCUGUGUGUCUCGACCAAAUUACGUGCCAGCAGUCGCGGUAAUACGUUGGAGACUAGUGUUAGUCGUCUUUAGUAGGUUUAAAGGGUACCUAGACGGUUAUUUCAGCCCCCAAAGGGUACUGUUUAGACUAGAGUUUUAUGAGAGGGGGGGUGUACUAAUGGUGUAGAGAUGAAAUUCAGUCAUACCAUUAAGACAGGCAACAGCGAAGGCAACCCUUUAUGUGUAAGUAAACUGACGUUGAAGGACGAAGGCUUGGUCCACCAAUAGGAUUAGAUACCCUAGCAGUCUAAGCAGACAAUGAUGAAUGCCAUAGACUAAAAAAAAACACACGUGCACAACUGACUUGUUGCUUGUUGCUACAGCAACAAGCAACAAGUCAGUCGUUCUAUGAUGGUAGCAAUAAAAAGAAAGAUAAAAUAUUAUAAAGUUUAGAAUAAUUAUAAUUUCCUUUUUUUAUUAAUUAUAGGCUACCAAGGUUAUAUAUUAAUCGUGAGAGUGUCAUAUAUAACCUUUAAUUUAAUUUAAUUUCUAAGAAUUCUUUAGUAAAGGUGAUUUUGUCUAUAAAUGAAAGUGUAAGCAUUCCACCUCAAGAGUAACGUGGCAACGCGGAAACUGAAAUCAUUAGACCGUUUCUGAAACCAGUAGUGAAGUAUGUUGUUUAAUUUGAUAAUCCGCAAAACACCUUACCACAAUUUGUAUGUUUAGAGAUAAAUACAAGAGUUGCACGGCUGUCUUCAGUUAAUGUCGUGAGAUUUUGGUUAGUUCCAUAAAA
rnacentral:rRNA from 1 species